rnacentral:rRNA from 1 species
GAUGAACGCUGGCGGCGUGCUUAACACAUGCAAGUCGAACGAAGAUGCCGGAGUGCUUGCACUUUGGCAGACUGAGUGGCGGACGGGUGAGUAACGCGUGGGUAACCUGCCUUAUACAGGGGGAUAACAGUUGGAAACGACUGCUAAUACCGCAUAAGCGCACGGUAUCGCAUGAUACAGUGUGAAAAACUCCGGUGGUAUAAGAUGGACCCGCGUCUGAUUAGCUUGUUGGUGAGGUAACGGCCCACCAAGGCGACGAUCAGUAGCCGGCCUGAGAGGGUGAACGGCCACAUUGGGACUGAGACACGGCCCAAACUCCUACGGGAGGCAGCAGUGGGGAAUAUUGCACAAUGGGGGAAACCCUGAUGCAGCGACGCCGCGUGAGUGACGAAGUAUUUCGGUAAUGUAAAACUCUAUCAGCAGGGAAGAUAAUGACGGUACCUGACUAAGAAGCACCGGCUAAAUACGUGCCAGCAGCCGCGGU